UACAGAGGUCUCGAGCGUUAGGCGGAAUCACUGGGCUUAAAGCGUGUGCAGGCGGACUUCUAAGUGCCUUGUGAAAUCCCACGGCUCACCCGUGGAACGGCUGGGCAUACUGGGAGUCUUGAGCCACCUAGGGGCUGCCGGAACAAAUGGUGGAGCGGUGAAAUGCGCAGAUAUCAGGAGGAACACCGAUGGCGAAGGCAGGUCUCUGGGCCACUACUGACGCUGAGAAGCGAAAGCAUGGGGAGCGAACAGG
rnacentral:rRNA from 1 species